ensembl:snoRNA
UCCCCACUCACAACUCAAGAACCUCUGCUGUCUGUAGUGGCUAUUUAAACUAUUUAAAGAGUGGUGUGCACAGCAAAGGGGGUCUUACCUCCUUUGGACGUGGCUAUGAUGUGUCCCCCAGAGUGAAUCAGGAGGUUCUACAAUG